GACAGAGGGGGCAAGCGUUGCUCGGAAUUACUGGGCGUAAAGGGCGCGUAGGCGGGAUGGCAUGUCGGUCGUGAAAUCCCUCGGCUCAACCGAGGAACGUCGAUCGAUACUGCUGUUCUUGAGGAUUGCAGAGGAGACUGGAAUUCCCGGUGUAGCGGUGAAAUGUGUAGAGAUCGGGAGGAACACCGGUGGCGAAGGCGGGUCUCUGGGCAAUUCCUGACGCUGAGGCACGAAGGUCAGGGGAGCAAACGGG
rnacentral:rRNA from 1 species